rnacentral:tRNA from 1 species
GUUUUAAUAGUUUAAUAAAAACAUUGGUCUUGUAAACCAAAAUUAAGAUUUCUUUUAAAACU